CGGAGAGGGCGCAUGAGACAAGGGCCCAGGCCCUACGGGGCGCAGCAGGCGCGAAACCUCCACAAUGCGCGCAAGCGCGAUGGGGCUACCUCGAGUGCCACCUGAAGAAGGUGGCUUUUCCACGGUGUAAGGAGCCGUGGGAACAAGAGGGGGGCAAGACUGGUGUCAGCCGCCGCGGUAACACCAGCCCCUCGAGUGGUGGGGACGAUUACUGGGCCUAAAGCGUUCGUAGCCGGCCCUGUAAGUCCCUCGUUAAAUCCAGCGUCUCAAGCGUUGGGCCGCGAGGGAUACUGCUGGGCUAGGGGGUGGGAGAAGGCCAGCGGUAUUCUUGGGGUAGGGGUAAAAUCCUCUGAUCCCAGGAGGACCACCAGUGGCGAAGGCUGCUGGCUAGAACACGCCCGACGGUGAGGGACGAAAGCUGGGGGAGCGAACCGGAUUAGAUACCCGGGUAGUCCCAGCCGUAAACGAUGCAGGCUAGGUGUUGGAGUGGCCAUGGGCCGCUUCAGUGCCACAGGGAAGCCGUUAAGCCUGCCGCCUGGGGAGUACGGCCGCAAGGCUGAAACUUAAAGGAAUUGGCGGGGGAGCACCACCAGGCGUGAAGCCUGCGGUUUAAUUGGAGUCAACACCGGGAAACUUACCGGGGGCGACAGCAGGAUGAAGGCCAGGUUGAA
rnacentral:rRNA from 1 species